rnacentral:rRNA from 1 species
CCUACGGGUGGCAGCAGUGGGGGAUAUUGCACAAUGGGGGAAACCCUGAUGCAGCGAUGCCGCGUGAGUGAAGAAGUAUUUCGGUAUGUAAAGCUCUAUCAGCGGGGAAGAAAAUGACAAUACCUGACCACGAAGCCACGGCUAACUACGGGCCAGCAGCCGCGGUAAUACGUAGGGGGCAAGGGUUCUCCGGAUUUACUGGGUGUAAAGGGAGCGUAGACGGUUAUGUAAGUCUGGAGUGAAAGCCCGGGGCCCAACCUCGGGACUGCGUUGGAAACUGGGUAACUGGAGUACAGGAGGGGGAGGCAGAAUUCCUGGUGUAGCGGUGAAAUGCGUAGAUAUCAGGAGGAAUACCGGCGGCGAAGGCGGCCUGCUGGACUGAAACUGACGUUGAGGCUCGAAAGCGUGGGGAGCAAACAGGAUUAGAUACCCGGGUAGUC